CCCGGGCCGGAAGGGCUCCUGCGCAGGCGUUUGUAGCCACUUUUAAGUUUUAUCAGCUAGUUCAUGCUUGCGUUGAAAGAGUGGUCGUUUACGCUGGGUCAUCACUGUGUAGUAUUGGGGAUACUUAGGUGAGAAAAAAACUUAACGCUAGAGACGUUCACGCACUAGUGGAGAAGCCAGGAUUGUUGCCCUAGAGUUACAGUAGAUAAAAGUACCUGAGAGAACUGCGGGGGCUCCCAACCUGGACGCUUGCACCGGAGUAUUAAAUCCAGCUAGAGAAUGGCAUGUGCAAAGAUACAGAGCUUUUAGAAGUUGCCUGCAUUCCUUGGCCCCUUCCUCACAUCAUUCCAACCAACUUCCAUCCUUACAAUCGAUUACUUUCCUGUAAUAGCCACAGUCAGAUGGGCAGCUGAAGGUGAUGAUGAUGAUCUUGACACCGAGAAGCAGAAGACCAAUGAAGAUGACCAGACAGCAAAAAAGGAUAAGUUAAAAGAAGGUAAAAGAAGGCCACUCGUACUUGCUGUCUCAGUAUCUAAAGGUGGUCACCUUCCAGUAGAGAGGCCCACCCACUGCAGACAGUGCCACCGAAGGUGACAUGCACUUUCUGCCACCCAUCCAAAACUGUAACGUGAAUCUGCAACAGGAGAGGAAAGAAGAACCAAAACUUCCAAGGCCUUGCAUUUUUUCUUAAAAGCAUUUUUUUUUUUUUUUUUUGGAGAUGGAGUCUCACUCUAUUGCCUGGAGUGCAGUGGCGUAAUUUCGGCUCACUGAAGCCUCUGCUUCCCGGGUUUAAGAAAUUCUCUGCCUCAGCCUCCCAAGUAGCUGGGAUUACAGGCACAUGCCACCACACCUGUCU
rnacentral:antisense_RNA from 1 species